AUGCAGUCGACGCUGAAGCUUAGUGCUUGCACUGGGUGGAUGAGUGGCGAACGGGUGAGUAAUACGUGAGUAACCUGCCCUUGACUCUGGGAUAAGCCUGGGAAACUGGGUCUAAUACUGGAUAUGACCUCCUGUCGCAUGGUGGGGGGUGGAAAGGGUUUGUACUGGUUGUGGAUGGGCUCACGGCCUAUCAGCUUGUUGGUGGGGUAAUGGCCUACCAAGGCGACGACGGGUAGCCGGCCUGAGAGGGUGACCGGCCACACUGGGACUGAGACACGGCCCAGACUCCUACGGGAGGCAGCAGUGGGGAAUAUUGCACAAUGGGCGCAAGCCUGAUGCAGCGACGCCGCGUGAGGGAUGACGGCCUUCGGGUUGUAAACCUCUUUCAGCACGGAAGAAGCGAAAGUGACGGUACGUGCAGAAGAAGCGCCGGCUAACUACGUGCCAGCAGCCGCGGUAAUACGUAGGGCGCAAGCGUUGUCCGGAAUUAUUGGGCGUAAAGAGCUCGUAGGCGGUUUGUCGCGUCUGCUGUGAAAGCCCGGGGCUUAACCCCGGGUGUGCAGUGGGUACGGGCAGACUUGAGUGCAGUAGGGGAGACUGGAACUCCUGGUGUAGCGGUGAAAUGCGCAGAUAUCAGGAAGAACACCGAUGGCGAAGGCAGGUCUCUGGGCUGUUACUGACGCUGAGGAGCGAAAGCAUGGGGAGCGAACAGGAUUAGAUACCCUGGUAGUCCAUGCCGUAAACGUGGGC
rnacentral:rRNA from 1 species